rnacentral:rRNA from 1 species
UACGUAGGGGUGCAAGCGUUUGUCCGGAAUUAUUGGGCGUAAAGAGCUCGUAGGCGGUUUGUCGCGUCUGCUGUGAAAACCCGAGGCUCAACCUCGGGCCUGCAGUGGGUACGGGCAGACUAGAGUGCGGUAGGGGGAGAUUGGAAUUCCUGGUGUAGCGGUGGAAUGCGCAGAUAUCAGGAGGAACACCAAUGGCGAAGGCAGAUCUCUGGGCCGUAACUGACGCUGAGGAGCGAAAGCAUGGGGAGCGAACAGG